rnacentral:tRNA from 1 species
UGUAAUGAGCACAAAAAAUUUUGAUUUUUUAAGGGGUGGUUGAAAUCCACU